UACGGAGGGUGCAAGCGUUAUCCGGAUUCACUGGGUUUAAAGGGUGCGUAGGUGGGUUGGUAAGUCAGUGAUGAAAUCUCCGAGCUUAACUUGGAAACUGCCAUUGAUACUAUCAGUCUUGAAUAUUGUGGAGGUUAGCGGAAUAUGUCAUGUAGCGGUGAAAUGCUUAGAUAUGACAUAGAACACCAAUUGCGAAGGCAGCUGGCUACGCAUAUAUUGACACUGAGGCACGAAAGCGUGGGGAUCAAACAGG
rnacentral:rRNA from 1 species